UAUCGAGCAACUGAUACAGUUAUUAAAGGCGCUGGCAAACUCAAGUUGGUUUUUGUACCUGAAGGACAGGACGAGAAGACAGAGUUAGAGGUUUUCAACUUUACAGGUGCUGGGGGGGUGGCAUUAUCGAUGUAUAACACUGCUGAGUCAAUCCGUGCUUUCGCUGAGGCCUCUAUGAACACAGCUUACCUGAAAAAAUGGCCACUUUAUCUUAGCACAA
rnacentral:misc_RNA from 1 species